GUUCCACACUCAGCACAAAGCCCGAUGCUGGGCUUGAUCCCCCCACCCUGCGAUCAUGACCAGAGCCAAAAAUUGAGGGUUGCCAUUCAACCCAGACACCGUCUUUGCUUCUCUUAUUAUAUCAGGUUAGUUGGUAUGGCUGGCCUUAAUCGUUCCUCCCCACCUACUGUUUGCUAUUUCUCAUCAUUUGUUAGCUGAAGAAUCAGUUGUUAACAUAAUGUGUAAAGUAAAUGUAUACUGGCUCCUAAUUAAAAAAAAAAAAUGGGCAAAGAAUCAGGAUCCAUAUUUCUCUGAAGCAGAUAUACAAAUGGCCCAUAAGCACAUGAAAACAAUGCUUGAUGGCAUUAGUUAUCAGGGAAAUGUAAGGAAAACCAUAAUGAGAUACCGCUUUGUGCUCAUCAGAGUGGCUAUGGUCAAAAAGUCCAAUAAGACUCAUGUUGAUGAAGAUGAGGAGUAACUGGAACCCUCACACACUUGGGAGGAAUGCGAAGUGGUGUCGUUGCUUUGGAAAACACAUCAAGUGAUUAAACACAGACCCGCAGACUUAUACAUAUGACUGGGUAAUUCUACUCGGAUUAGAUUUCAGGAAGAAAAGCAAACAAGGAAAAGUACUUCUGAAGUUCCCCAGCACAUCAGUUGCCUCAACAUAGUAAAUCCAGGCGAAGAAAUGCCAAGACCCCAAUAGCUCAGCCCCAACCCUCUGAAAAGAUGACAAUGGCAACUAAUAAGUAAGAAGACAGACUGGAUCUCAUGAGGCGGAACUGAGACCAGCUCAUAACAUCUCAUAUCAGAAGAAAAUUCAAUUUAUGAUGCCAUUUACAGACAUUUCUAGUCUACCUACAAGCUGCAAAAAUAUUAAUAUAGGUUUUUACUUUUAUGGAAAACAUAUAUACCCCCUAUGUUCAUCUUUACUUCAUUCCAAUUAUGAAUAAUUGAUAACUUAAAAGACCUUCCUUAGGAGAUUGUACCUGUCUUUCCCCAUUGCUUGUAACGAGGUUCCUGGUGUUAUCAGAUAUUUCUUUCUAUUUUUACCAUCUUCUUUUGGAAACAAGGUGAUUUUAACUGAAUGCAGAAUAAGCGUGUACCACUGAUUUCUGUAAUGACAUUGGAAUAUAUUCCCUUUCAUUUUUACUGCAAUUAAAUAGUGUAUUUUCUUUCUUUUUCUUUCGUUUUCUUUCUUUCUUUCUUUCUUUCUUUCUUUCUUUCUCUUCUUUCUUUCUUUCUUUCUUUCUUUCUUUCUUUCUUUCUUUUUCGUUCUUUCUUUUGGUUUUUAAACACUACUGAGCAUCACACAUACGUCUUCAUUAAGAUGUCUGCCAUGAGCCUAAAUCUUUUCCCUGUAAGUAGAACUAAUUCAGAACUCACCCGAGUGGAUGACUAAUUUAAAUUGCUACUUCCAACAUGCAAUACUCUGCACUUGUCUGCUCUGAGUUUCAUCUGCCACUGUUUCACCCAAUUACUGAGUUUAGAGUCUAUGUUUCUCACUUCCAUCUGUAUAGAUUUAAGGAGCCAAAAUAGUUUUGUUUAGUCAGCAAAUUUCAGCACCUCAUUAUUUGGUUCAUUUUCAAGGAUGUUAAUAAAUAUCCUAGAGAAGACUAUUCUUACACCGAUUGCUGAUACCCCACUAUUAACUCUUUUCCAUGCUGAGAGCUGGUCAUUUAUUCUUUCAUUCCCCCUCUAUCUCUUAACUCACUUUUAACUCAUGCUUGACAGCUUUUUACCUCUUGCCCAGUGGUUGGCAAGUUCCCUUAACAGUCUCUUGUGUAGGACUUCAUCAAAAGCCCUUUGAGAGCCUAAAUAAAUUACAUCUACUAGUUUUCCUUUA